rnacentral:rRNA from 1 species
GACGAAACGUCCAAACGUUAUUCGGAAUUACUGGGCUUAAAGGGGGCGUAGGCGGCGCGGAAAGUUGGGUGUGAAAUCCCUCGGCUCAACCGAGGAACUGCGCCCAAUACUACCGUGCUUGAGGGAGAUAGAGGUGAGCGGAACUUAGGGUGGAGCGGUGAAAUGCGUUGAUAUCCUAAGGAACACCGGUGGCGAAAGCGGCUCACUGGAUCUCUUCUGACGCUGAGGCACGAAAGCUAGGGUAGCGAACGGG